AGUGAAUGCUGGCGGUAGGCCUAACACAUGCAAGUCGAACGGCAGCACAGUAAGAGCUUGCUCUUACGGGUGGCGAGUGGCGGACGGGUGAGGAAUACAUCGGAAUCUACUUUUUCGUGGGGGAUAACGUAGGGAAACUUACGCUAAUACCGCAUACGACCUACGGGUGAAAGCAGGGGAUCUUCGGACCUUGCGCGAUUGAAUGAGCCGAUGUCGGAUUAGCUAGUUGGCGGGGUAAAGGCCCACCAAGGCGACGAUCCGUAGCUGGUCUGAGAGGAUGAUCAGCCACACUGGAACUGAGACACGGUCCAGACUCCUACGGGAGGCAGCAGUGGGGAAUAUUGGACAAAGGGCGCAAGCCUGAUCCAGCCAUACCGCGUGGGUGAAGAAGGCCUUCGGGUUGUAAAGCCCUUUUGUUGGGAAAGAAAAGCAGCAGGUUAAUACCCCGCUGUUCUGACGGUACCCAAAGAAUAAGCACCGGCUAACUUCGUG
rnacentral:rRNA from 1 species